rnacentral:rRNA from 1 species
GACAUAGGUGGCAAACGUUAUCCGGAAUUAUUGGGCGUAAAGAGCUCGUAGGCGGUUUGUCGCGUCUGCUGUGAAAACCGGAGGCUCAACCUCCGGCCUGCAGUGGGUACGGGCAAACUAGAGUGCGGUAGGGGAGAUUGGAAUUCCUGGUGUAGCGGUGGAAUGCGCAGAUAUCAGGAGGAACACCGAUGGCGAAGGCAGAUCUCUGGGCCGUAACUGACGCUGAGGAGCGAAAGCGUGGGGAGCGAACAGG